rnacentral:rRNA from 1 species
GGUGGGGAUGACGUCAAAUCAUCAUGCCCCUUAUGAUCUGGGCUACACACGUGCUACAAUGGGGCAUACAGAGGGUCGCGAAGCCGCGAGGUGGAGCCAAUCCCAAGAAGUGCCUCUCAGUUCGGAUUGCAGGCUGCAACUCGCCUGCAUGAAGUCGGAAUCGCUAGUAAUCGCAGGUCAGCAUACUGCGGUGAAUACGUUCCCGGGUCUU